CUGUAUCGCGUAGUAUCGUUUUGUUGACAGCAACCUUCGAAGCAAAAGCGUUUUCUGAAAUGAUAAAGCGCCGUCCCUCGAUUGCGCGCGGUUCCCGUGGUGCUUGGAGCGUCAGUCAAGUACGAGGAAUGUGUCACAAAUGACUCCGCAGUUGAUGGCUCCCGGCAGUCACUACCUACUGGCACUGCGCAAGAAACUUAUGAUCCGGCACAGCCCGUCAGUCUCCUGCUUCGAAGGGAAGAGGCCACACCUCAUCAUCGUCACCGUGGUUUGAAGAUAAGAAAGACUUAUUUCUGCAACCCAUAAGGGAGCACAGCUCAGUGUCAUCAGAGAAUGGGUGUAUUGAAUUUCCGUAGUUUAGAUACAGACAGUACUCUGUAAAAAAAUAACAAAAAAUCCUUUUCCUAGCAAGAAUACAUGAAACUUCACCAUACAGCAAAAUACUCUCAAAACACAGCAAACCUAACUAUGUAAACAUAUGAGAAAAUCUAUCUAUACAAAUACAGUGCAUUAGCUCUCAAUCUAACAUAUCACUUAGACAGGCACUACUAGCAAGAAGGAAAACCAUGACGUCCUAACUGUCCUCUACCGUUGUGCAAUAUGUCAAUCGCGACUGUGUCGAUGCGGUAUAGAAGUCAGCUUCCACGGUGAUGUAUGUUCUGCGCUGAAUCGGCACGGUACUGGGUGCGGUCUUCAGCGCACCAGGCUAACGACGUGACCAGGUGGUUGCUCUCAUGGACCUGGACACGGACAGGUGUCGGAUGCGUGUUCUGGAGCAGUUGUGCAGACUGGUGUCACAGCUCAAGUUUUGAAGCCAUCCUUGGAUGACCAUCUCCAGGUUGUCUUUUCUUCUGUCCAUGUUCCUGCAUUUGACGUACAUGUCCCCAGAACACAACUGGAGAAGCUACUGCCCCUCUCCAAGAACACGUCAGCAUUGCCGACUCUUUCAUCGGCCGCAACCCCUGCUUCUCCACUCAAGCUUCUUCAAACAUCUUCGAUUAUUCUCUUUUAUCUUCUUUGACUCCUCACAUGCUUUGCUUGUUCUAAUAGUGUACGCCAUUCUUCUCUUCUUCUUGCACGUCCUUUGCCUUUUACUUGGGACAGGUUUUGAAGAGCUUUAUUGCUCUAAAGAUAGGAACUGCUCACUCAGUUCACCAAGCAUUCACCAAAUAUUCACAAUAACACUAAUAUGAUGUCCUAAAUGCACUUUUGCCAAAGGGUCAUUCCAAGUGAAACGUCCCAGCCCGAAAUUCGACCACCAGCGAUUCUCUUAAAAAAUUUGAGCUAGAUAGUAAUUGUGUGAGAGCAAUUUCAGUAAAGUAUUUUCGUUGACAAAAAUUAUUUGGUCAUGUGACUUCCCUUUGGAUGUUGCAGCAAGAAAGUUAGGUGGGAAUAAAUUAUGCGUAUUUAACUUUGAAACUAGGUACAACAGCACGUUGUAUUUUAAAGCAUUCUAUUGUCAUUGUUCUUUCAUGUGACGUCACAACUUACAAGUACAUCCAUAUAUUAAUUUUUCAGCCUAAAUAGGCUUAUCAAAGAAGCAAGAAAACACGCAAAUUGAGACAUUUUUUUUGUAGAAACAAUGGCAGGUGUUUCAGCUACAAACACUUUUUAGCUCUUUUACCAGUCGAUAUAGUAUCUGCUAAAAAUAUUUUCAACUUAUGUAAUAAAUGUUUGAGAAAAUAUUCAGGAAAUAAGUUCACCAAAAAUGACAUUUUUGGGAGAUUCACUCAUAAAUUAAACAUAAAGGCCCUCUCGAUA
rnacentral:lncRNA from 1 species